GAGUUUGAUCGUGGCUCAGAGUGAACGCUGGCGGUAGGCCUAACACAUGCAAGUCGAACGGUAACAGGUCUUUCGGGAUGCUGACGAGUGGCGGACGGGUGAGGAAUACAUCGGAAUCUGCUCAGUCGUGGGGGAUAACGCAUGGAAACGUGCGCUAAUACCGCAUACGACCUUCGGGUGAAAGCAGGGGAAUCUUUAGGGAUCCUUGCGCGAUUGAAUGAGCCGAUGUCGGAUUAGCUAGUUGGUAGGGUAAAAGCCUACCAAGGCGACGAUCCGUAGCUGGUCUGAGAGGAUGAUCAGCCACACUGGGACUGAGACACGGCCCAGACUCCUGCGGGAGGCAGCAGUGGGGAAUAUUGGACAAUGGGGGCAACCCUGAUCCAGCCAUACCGCGUGGGUGAAGAAGGCCUUCUGGGUUGUAAAGCCCUUUUGUUGGGGAAGAAAAACAACGGGUUAAUACCCCGUUGGUAUGACGGUACCCAAAGAAUAAGCACCGGCUAACUUCGUGCCAGCAGCCGCGGUAAUACGAAGGGUGCAAGCGUUACUCGGAAUUACUGGGCGUAAAGGGUGCGUAGGUGGUUGCGCCAGUCUGUCGUGAAAGCCCUGGGCUUAACCUGGGAAUGGCGAUGGAAACUGUGCAACUAGAGUGUGACAGAGGGUGGUGGAAUUCCUGGUGUAGCAGUGAAAUGCGUAGAGAUCAGGAGGAACAUUCGUGGCGAAGGCGGCCACCUGGGUCAACACUGACACUGAGGCACGAAAGCGUGGGGAGCAAACAGGAUUAGAUACCCUGGUAGUCCACGCCCUAAACGAUGCGAACUGGAUGUUGGGUCCAACUUGGGAUUCAGUAUCGAAGCUAACGCGUUAAGUUCGCCGCCUGGGGAGUACGGUCGCAAGACUGAAACUCAAAGGAAUUGACGGGGGCCCGCACAAGCGGUGGAGUAUGUGGUUUAAUUCGAUGCAACGCGCAGAACCUUACCUGGCCUUGACGUGCACGGGAGUCUUUAGAGAUAGAG
rnacentral:rRNA from 1 species